ACUGAACGCUGGCGGCAGGCUUAACACAUGCAAGUCGAGCGGAGAUGAGGUGCUUGCACCUUAUCUUAGCGGCGGACGGGUGAGUAAUGCUUAGGAAUCUGCCUAUUAGUGGGGGACAACAUUCCGAAAGGAAUGCUAAUACCGCAUACGCCCUACGGGGGAAAGCAGGGGAUCUUCGGACCUUGCGCUAAUAGAUGAGCCUAAGUCGGAUUAGCUAGUUGGUGGGGUAAAGGCCUACCAAGGCGACGAUCUGUAGCGGGUCUGAGAGGAUGAUCCGCCACACUGGGACUGAGACACGGCCCAGACUCCUACGGGAGGCAGCAGUGGGGAAUAUUGGACAAUGGGCGGAAGCCUGAUCCAGCCAUGCCGCGUGUGUGAAGAAGCCCUUUUGGUUGUAAAGCACUUUAAGCGAGGAGGAGGCUACCUGGAUUAAUACUCUAGGAUAGUGGACGUUACUCGCAGAAUAAGCACCGGCUAACUCUGUGCCAGCCGCCGCAGUAACAC
rnacentral:rRNA from 1 species